AUACCACAGCCAACAAUUCCCCAUAGGGUACUGCUGAACAGGAACUUUAGCUUUUGGUUUUGAAAAAGGUCCUUCUGAGGCAGUGAGUCUGACUAUGACACCUCUGUUGUUUCUUCCUUUCAGCAAGUUUCAUCAAACGACGGCCUCCUAAUUAGGUAUUGGGCUUUUGACAGGAGGGAACAGCUUGUUCUGAACUUUGUAAACAUAUAUACAUACCUGCCACCUUGCCCAGCUAACCUAUAUAUUUAUGAAGACAAAACUGUCAUAAGCUCUUAGUGGAGGUGUUGUCUCUAACCAGAGUAUUUCCAACUCUAUGUCCUAGGUCUCUGAAUGAGGGCUCUGCUAAGCUGAAUCCAAAGCUUUCUGCUCUUGCAUUUAUUUCUGAAUGCUGUCAGACUGAGAAUGACACCUUUGAAACCCAAACAGAGACUGGGCACAGUGGCUCAUACCUGUAAUCCCAGCACUUUGGGAAGCCCAGUGUCAGGCCUCUGAGCCAAAGCUCAGCCAUUAUAACCCCUGUGACCUGCACAUAUACAUCCAGGUGGCCUCAGGAGCCAAGAAGUUUGGAGCAGCCAAAAAACCACAAAGAAGUAAAACAGCCAGUUCCUGCCUUAACUCAUUAACCAACGUUACAACAUUUUACCACUGUGACUUGUCCCUGCCCUACCUUAGCUGAUCAAUCAACUUUGUGACAUUCUUCUUCUGGACAAUGAGUCUUAUGAUCUCCCCACAACAUACCUUGUGACCCCCUCCGCUAACAAUAGAUAACCACCUUUUACUCUAAUUUUCCAUUACCUACCCAACUCCUAUAAAGCAACCCCUUCCCCAUUUCCCUUUGCUGACUGUCUUUUUGGACUCAGCCC
rnacentral:lncRNA from 1 species